GCAAGUCGAGGGGUAACGGGGUACUUGCACCGCCGACGACCGGCGCACGGGUGCGUAACGCGUAUACAAUCUACCUCUUACUAUGGGAUAGCCCAGAGAAAUUUGGAUUAAUAUCAUAUAGUAUCAUAUUACGGCAUCGUAUUUAUGAUUAAAGGUUACGGUAAGAGAUGAGUAUGCGUCCUAUUAGUUUGUUGGUAAGGUAACGGCUUACCAAGACUACGAUAGGUAGGGGCCCUGAGAGGGGGAUC
rnacentral:rRNA from 1 species